UUCUUCCUACAGGUCUUCACAUAACACCUCUGAUCCUUCUUCAACAAGAUGUUGAAGAUGUACAUAGAGAUGGCAAAGAAAAGAGUUUGUGGUUUUCCUCAAGACCCCUUCCCUCAGGAAACCCUUGGUCUGAUGAGGAAGAUUUAUAUACUGCCCUCAAUCUGAGGUGGAAACACAGCCCUGCCUCAGGGAGCCCCAGUCUGAAGAGGAGACACAGCCUUGUCCUCAGGGAGCCUCAGCCUGAGGACGAAGACACAGCCCUGUCCUCAGGGAGCUCACAUCUGAUGGAGGGAACACAGCUGCUGUUCCUAGGCACAUCUCAAUCUGAGGGAAACAGGAAAUAAAGAAAACAAUUUAAGAGCUCUCACACAUGCCAAGCAAUAUUUUACCAACUGUGCCCUGUGCCCUGGAGAGAGCCACAGCAAAGUCAGGGUCCAGGCAGAAGAUUCUG
rnacentral:lncRNA from 1 species